UGUAGCUGUAGCUCAGCUCCAGUACUACUUAAGUAUUAGUCUGCUAGCUACUUAGCAACUAGCUACACAGAUACUAGCUAACAUUUUGUAGCUUUACAUACAUAUAUGCAUUAGUGUUUUCCUAGCUAUUCUUUUAGCUGUCGUUUCCAGGGUAUGUUAAACAGUCAGUCAAGUCUGUUUGCUAGCUAGCUUCUUAGCAGCUAGCUAGAAGUAUAUUAUCGUAAAGUGUGAACAUAUUCUUUUAUUCUCUUUCUUUCCCUAGUAUAUCCAUUUCACUUUGAACAUUUGAAUGUUAGCCAUUUAACUUGUCGACUAAGUUAGCCUAGCUUGGACAAAGCUGACUUUGACUCUCCCUGAUAAUAAUGUAACUUUGACCUCCGCUCACCUACGGACACGACACAAACCAAGUGAGCCUCUCACACAGUAACAGGUCAGAAAUUUCUAUGUAAAGGCAGAGCAGCAAUGGGACCAAAAUUUAAUUAAAGCCAGUGAAGAGCAGAUGUCCUGUGCUGUUGGGUGUUUUCUCUUUAUAGAGUUUGCCUAAAACACCAUGAAACAGCUUAACAAAACACAGCAAAAUGCUGACUAGUCAGAUGCGUGCUUUAAAGGGUUUAGGUAGUUCGGAAUAUGAAGAGCAGAUCUUUUUUUUCAUGCCUGCUGGAAAAAUAAACCACAAGAAUAAUUUUGCAA